rnacentral:tRNA from 1 species
GGGCCGGUAGCUCAGCCUGGAGUGACAUGUCCGGCGAGACACCAUAAGCAAUAGAGCACUGGACUUUUAAUCCAGUAGUCGCGAGUUCAAAUCUCGUCCGGCCCG